GUAGACAUAGUUUAAUAAUAACGCUAGAUUGUGAUUCUAGAGGCAGGGGUUGAAAUCCCCUUGUCCACC
rnacentral:tRNA from 1 species